ensembl:lncRNA
GAGAGUCUUAGCACAGAAGGACAAGAAAGCCAGUUGUCUAUUGUAGUUGUGAGUUCAGUUACUGAUAGAGUAGAAGUGGAGAACUCUGAAGCAGUGACUGCAGAGCCAGAGAAAGAGGAAGAGGACUCAUAUAUUUCACAUUCUCAAGGGGAACCUUGUGGAGAAGGUGAAGCACAAACCAAAAAGGUUGCUGCGUUCAUUUUAAAUUUGGAUACAGUGGGCACAGAUAGUGCAGAGACAUAUUCCCACACAUCCACAGAUGAUGCUACGGUGAAAGCAGCCUCUACUAGUUCUAUUUUAAAUGAGAAGACACUGGGCAAGCAAGAGCAUGAAACAAUGGCCCCUCUAGAAGCUGGAAUUUCUGAAGUAGCCAUAGAACCAAUUAGCAUACAGUCUUCUCUUUAUGAGCCAAGUAUGGUGAAUGUUUUAGAAAUUAGUUCAGCAAUAGAACCAGAGCAGUCACAGCUCAAUGAAACAGACACUAACGGACAAGUGCAGACAACAGGAGGUCCACCUGCUGAAGAACACAGUAGUGGAGAUGAUGCUGCCAGAGGUAUUGGAACCUUUACUUGGAACAAUGGAUCAAAUGCUGCAAUUGCUGAAAGAGAGAGGAACUGGACUACAAAUAAUGGUCUGCAUGUAAUCCAAUGCGGAUCUAUUAUUCUAGACUUCCCUGAGGGUGUGGAGAUGCAGAGACAUCAUGCUUGUGAAGCUACUCUUUCCAGGGAACCCUCUGAGGCACAGAUUCAGGGAUCAGAAAGAAUGGAGACGGAAUAUGAGGCAAAAUCUGAUAAAACAGAAACAGGGGUUCUAGCCAGCACAAACAGACCUUUAGAAGCAUCAGCAUCUGAACCGGCUGAUACAAACCUAAACCUACUGACAAGGGAAGUUGGAGUCAUGCAUGUCGAUGUAGAAGAAGAGACAAAAAAGACCCCAUCAGAUGAUAAAACACAAUUAAUUAAAACUAAUCCUAAACUUAAACCUCCAAUCAAGCAACAAAAUGAGGUAGAAACUGAGGUCCAAACAAACAAAAUGCAUGUCUCAACAAGAGUAGAAGAAAAGCCUGAAGGUGAAGAAGCCAUUGGUGUCGUUUUGGGAAAAGAGACAAAGACCCAAUCAAGUGGUAAAGCACAAUCCAAAGAAAUUGAACCAAAACUAACACCUCCAGUCAAGUUCCCAAUUGACUGGGACACUGAGGCACAACCCAAAAUAAUUAAUGUCUCACUAACACAGGAAGAGAAACCUGAAGUUGUUAUUGCAGAUGUUAUUGUAGAAGAAGAGAUAAACAAGACCCCAUCAGGUGAAAAAGCACAAUUAAUGGAAUCUGAACCUAAAAUGAUGCCGCCAGUCAGGCAAAGAAAUGAUAGUAAAACUGACGCCCAGUCAAACAAUGUAGAUGUCUUAACACAAAAGGAGAAAGCUGAAGGUGAAGAGGCCAUUGAUAUCAUUGUAGAAGAGGAGACAAAGACAACAUCAUCAGAUGAUAAAGGACAAUCUGUAGAGGCUGAACCUGAACUGACACUUUCAAUCAUGCAGAGGAGUGACCACAAAACUGAUGUCCAGUCAGAAAAGGUGGAUGUAUCACCAGAGGAGAAAACUGAAUGUGAAGAAGCCUUGUAUGUCAUUAAGGAAUGGAAUGACUGGGACACUGAGGGUCAAUCUGAAAGUAUUAAUGUCUCACUGACACCAGAGGAAAAACAUGAAGUUGGAGACACUGCAGAUGUCAUUGUAGAAGAAGAGACAAACAAGGCCCCAUCAGAUGAAAAAGCACAUUCCAUAGAAGCUGAACCUAAACCAACACCACCAGCCAGGCAAAGAAAUGGAAAGAAGAUUGCUGUCCAAUCAAACAAGGUGAAUAUUUCAACAACAUCAGAGAAGAAACCUGAAGGUGCAGAGGCUACCAGUGUCAUUGUAGAAGACGAGAUAAAGACUCUAUUAGAUGAUAAAGCACAAUGCCUAGAAGGGGAACCUAUACUGACACCACCAGCCAGGGAACAAAAUAAGGGGGAAACUGAUGUCCAAUCAAACAAGGUAAAAAUGUCAACAACAUCAGAGAAGGAACCUGGGGACACCAUGCAUAUCCCUGAAGAGGAAGUGACAAAAAAGACAUUGGUUAAUAAAAGGCAAUUCAUAGAAGCUGAGCCUAAACCAACCCCACCAGUCAGAAGACAAAAUGAUGGUGAAACUGAGGUCCAGUUAGACAAGGUGGAUGUCACACCAACACCUCCCACCAGACGACAUAAAUGUGAUAGGUUAUUUUUAAAUAUUGAAUCACAGAUAGAGGGAGAAGUUCUUCCCACCCCACCAAGCAGAAGACGUAGAGAGAAAAUGGGACGUGAGAGGUUUUCACUUGAUUUAGAGUCCCAACCCACACCACCAGCUAGACG